UACGUAGGGUGCAAGCGUUGUCCGGAAUUAUUGGGCGUAAAGAGCUUGUAGGCGGUUUGUCGCGUCUGCUGUGAAAUUUCGGGGCUCAACCCCGAACUUGCAGUGGGUACGGGCAGACUAGAGUGUGGUAGGGGAGACUGGAAUUCCUGGUGUAGCGGUGAAAUGCGCAGAUAUCAGGAGGAACACCAAUGGCGAAGGCAGGUCUCUGGGCCAUAACUGACGCUGAGAAGCGAAAGCAUGGGGAGCGAACAGG
rnacentral:rRNA from 1 species